rnacentral:rRNA from 1 species
GGUCAAGUUACUAAGGGCACACGGUGGAUGCCUUGGCAGUCGAACCGAUGAAGGACGUGGCUACCUGCGAUAAGCCUCGGGAAGCUGGAAGCAAGCGUAGAUCCGAGGAUCUCCGAAUGGGGAAACCCAGUGGGGCGAACCCCCACUACCCUUGACUGAAUACAUAGGUCAUGUGGAGGGAACCCAGGGAACUGAAACAUCUAAGUACCUGGAGGAAAAUAAAGAAACCUCGAUUCCCCCAGUAGCGGCGAGCGAAAAGGGAACAGCCUAAACCGACUCCUACGGGAGCCGGGGUCGUAGGACCGGCAACAUGGACUCGAGCGUAUAGCGGAAGCGCACUGGAAAGGCGCGCCAUAGCGGGUGAUAGCCCCGUACGCGAAAUGCGCGGAAGCCUAGCCGGCACCUGAGUAGCGCGAGUCACGUGGAACCUCGCGUGAAUCCACGGGGACCACCCCGUAAGGCUAAAUAUUCCGACUGACCGAUAGCGAACAAGUACCGUGAGGGAAAGGUGAAAAGCACCCCGUGAGGGGAGUGAAAUAGUACCUGAAACCGUGUGCUUACAAGCAGUCACAGCCCUAUGCGUACCUUCGGGUACGAACGGGUAGUGGCGUGCCUCUUGAAGCAUGAUCCUGCGACUUACUGGUAGUGCCGAGUUUAAGCCGAUAGGCGGAGGCGUAGCGAAAGCGAGUCUGAACAGGGCGUUCAGGCGCUAUCAGUAGACCCGAAACCGGAUGAGCUAGCCAUGGCCAGGUUGAAGCUUCCGUAAAAGGAAGUGGAGGACCGAACCCGUUGAGGUUUAAAACUCUUGGGAUGAGCUGUGGUUAGGAGUGAAAAGCUAACCGAAUCCGGAGAUAGCUGGUUCUCCCCGAAAUAGUUUUAGGACUAGCCUCGGGGGUUCACCGAUGGUUGUAAAGCACUGAUUGGGCUAGGGGGCUCACCAGCUUACCAAACCCUGUCAAACUCUGAAGGCCGUCGGUUCAUACCCCGGGAGUCAGUCUGCGUGAGCUAACUUUCGCAGACAAGAGGGAAACAACCCAGAACGCCAGUUAAGGUCCCCAAGUCAUGGCUAAGUGGUAAAGGAUGUGGAGACGCUAGAACAGCUAGGAGGUUGGCUUAGAAGCAGCCAUUCCUUUAAAGAGUGCGUAAUAGCUCACUAGUCGAGCGUCUCUGCGCCGAAGAUGAUCGGGGCUAAGCCAUGCACCGAAACUGCGUCAGUGCAACUAAGUUGCGCUGGGUAGGGGAGCGUUCCGUAAGCCGUUGAAGCGGUACCGCAAGGAGCCGUGGAGGUAUCGGAAGUGCGAAUGCAGGAAUUAGUAACGAUAAGAAGGGUGAGAAUCCCUUCCGCCGAAAGCCUAAGGGUUCCUGAGCAAGGGUCGUCCUCUCAGGGUUAGGCGGGACCUAAGGCGAGGCCGAAAGGCGUAGUCGAUGGACAGCAGGUCAACAUUCCUGCCCCGCCGUCGUGGAGUGAUGGGGUGACGCAUUAGGAUAGGCCAUCCGGAGCUAUGGCUAUGCCCGGCGGCGUGCGAAGUCUGGAGGGACAGGAAAAUCCGCCCUCCGCGUAGAUGACGUACGUCGGGAAGGUCCUACGGGACUGAUAACUGGUUGAAUCCACGGUGCCAAGAAAAACCUCUAAACGUUGAAGCGAUGGCGCCCGUACCAAAACCGACACAGGUAGGCGAGUGUAAGAGCACUAAGGCGCGCGAGAGAACCCUGGUUAAGGAACUCUGCAAAAUAGCCCCGUAACUUCGGGAGAAGGGGUCCCACGUGUAAGGUUGUCAGUGAUGAUCGCCUGAGGUGGGCGCAGUGAAUUGGCUCUAGCGACUGUUUACCACAAUCACAGCACUCUGCUAACCCUUAUAGGGGAUGUAUAGGGUGUGACACCUGCCCGGUGCUGGAAGGUCAACGGGAGGCGUGAAAGCGCUGAACUGAAGCCCCAGUGAACGGCGGCCGUAACUAUAACGGUCCUAAGGUUAACUUAACGCUAGCUUUAGUAAAACCAAACUAUAUGCGGGAAACUCCUCAAAAGCCGCGCGGUACUAGUGGGUCCGAGGACGCCACAGUAACAAUCCGCCGGAUACGUGGACAAUCCGCAGGGAAGGCUUGGAGUGUCCUUCACGCCAAGAACCCUCAGAGACUAUACGUUUGGGGUCGACUCCCCCGGACGAGACGCAUGAAACUCGAAGCUCAAUGGAUAGCCGGCUUCGUCGAUGGCGAAGGCUGUUUUCACGUCGGGAUAGCCAAGCACGACGAGAUGACGAUGGGAGUGCAAGUGCUCCCGGAGUUCACGGUCGUCCAACACGAGCGGGACGCCCAACUGCUGCACGCCCUGAAGGCGUACUUCGGUUGCGGAGUGGUGCGACGGAAUCACGGAGACCGGCUUGCGUAUCGCGUUCGCGAUCGCAAAUGCCUCCGCGAAGUGAUCCUUCCGUUCUUCAUGAAACACCAGUUGAAGACAACCAAGAACAUCGAGUUCUUGAAGUUCAGACGGGUGAUUCUGGCGAUGGAAGACGGGAUGCACCUAACGCAAGAGGGCCUCGAGGAGAUCAAGCGUAUCGCCGAGGGCAUGAACCGCGGUCGACCAAGAUAGAGUCCGGCCCUCCUGGAAACAGGACGGGGGAAUUCCGAGCGAAAUUCCUUGUCAGGUAAGUUCUGACCUGCACGAAUGGUGUAACGACUGGAGCGCUGUCUCAACCAGGGACUCGGUGAAAUUGAAUUGGCUGUAUAGAUGCGGCCUACCCGCAGCAGGACGAAAAGACCCCGUGGAGCUUUACUACAGCUUGAUGUUGAUGCUUGGACUGUUCUGUGUAGGAUAGGUGGGAGACUGUGAAGCCGGGCCGCUAGGCUCGGUGGAGUCAACGGUGAAAUACCACCCUGAAUGGUUCGAUCGUCUAACCUGCACCCGUUAUCCGGGUGGGGAACAGCGUUAGGUGGGUAGUUUGACUGGGGCGGUCGCCUCCUAAAUCGUAACGGAGGCGCGCAAAGGUUCCCUCAGCACGGUCGGAAAUCGUGCGUAGAGCGCAAGGGUAUAAGGGAGCUUGACUGCGAGACGUACAUGUCGAGCAGGCACGAAAGUGGGCCCUAGUGAACCGGUGGUACCUUGUGGAAGGGCCAUCGAUCAACGGAUAAAAGUUACCCCGGGGAUAACAGGCUGAUACCGCCCGAGAGUUCACAUCGGCGGCGGUGUUUGGCACCUCGAUGUCGGCUCGUCAUAUCCUGGGGCUGGAGAAGGUCCCAAGGGUCCGGCUGUUCGCCGGUUAAAAUGGCACGCGAGCUGGGUUCAGAACGUCGUGAGACAGUUCGGUCUCUAUCCGCUGUGGGCGUAGGAAAGUUGAGGAGAGCUGCUCCUAGUACGAGAGGACCGGAGUGGACGCACCUCUAGUGUCUUAGCUGUCGUACCAGCGGCACAUGCUAAGUAGCUACGUGCGGAACGGAUAAGCGCUGAAAGCAUCUAAGCGCGAAGCCGACUCCAAGAUGAGCUUUCCCAUCCCGUAAGGGAGUAAGACCCCCGGAAGACCACCGGGUUGAUAGGCUGGGAGUGUAAGUGCGGCAACGUACUUAGCUGACCAGUACUAAUCGGUCGAGGACUUGACCAUUU